rnacentral:rRNA from 1 species
UACGAAGGGGGCUAGUGUUGUUCGGAUUUACUGGGCGUAAAGGGCGCGUAGGCGGUGCGAUAAGUCAGGCGUGAAAGCCCCGGGCUCAACCCGGGAAUAGCGCUUGAUACUGUUGCGCUUGAAUCCAGGAGAGGAUGGCGGAAUUCCCAGUGUAGAGGUGAAAUUCGUAGAUAUUGGGAAGAACACCAGUGGCGAAAGCGGCGCACUGGACCAUAACUGACGCUGAGGCGCGAAAGCUAGGGGAGCAAACAGG